rnacentral:misc_RNA from 1 species
UCUCCGUUGGUGAACCAGCGGAGGGAUCAUUACAGGACUCGCAAGACUCCUACAACCCUGUGAACUUAACUAUAAGCACGUUGCUUCGGCGGGUGUCUCGGAGGGGGUUCUCCCUCCCCGAGACGCUAAACCCGCCGGCAGCCUACUAUACUCUGUCUCUUUGCGUUGGCAUCUCGAGUACAAUCAAACAAGUUAAAACUUUCAACAACGGAUCUCUUGGUUCUGGUAUCGAUGAAGAACGCAGC